rnacentral:rRNA from 1 species
GGUUGACCUCGGAUCAGGUAGGGAUACCCGCUGAACUUAAGCAUAUCAAUAAGCGGAGGAAAAGAAACCAACCGGGAUUGCCUCAGUAACGGCGAGUGAAGCGGCAACAGCUCAAAUUUGAAAUCUGGCCCUCGCGGGGUCCGAGUUGUAAUUUGUAGAGGGUGUUUCGGGUGCGGUGCCGGUCUAAGUUCCUUGGAACAGGACGUCAUAGAGGGUGAGAAUCCCGUCUGCGAGUCGGCCACCAACCCCGGGUGAAACCCCUUCGACGAGUCGAGUUGUUUGGGAAUGCAGCUCAAAAUGGGUGGUAAAUUUCAUCUAAAGCUAAAUACCGGCCAGAGACCGAUAGCGCACAAGUAGAGUGAUCGAAAGAUGAAAAGCACUUUGGAAAGAGAGUUAAAAAGUACGUGAAAUUGUUGAAAGGGAAGCGCUUGCGACCAGACCUGCCCCCGGGUGAUCAUCCGCCAUUCGUGGCGGUGCACUCGCCCGGACGCAGGCCAGCAUCGGUUCGGGCGGCGGGACAAAGGACUCGGGAACGUAGCUCUCUCCGGGGAGCCUUAUAGCCCGGGUCGCCAUGCCGCCCGCCUGGACCGAGGACCGCGCUUCGGCUAGGAUGCUGGCGUAAUGGUCGUAAGCGACCCGUCUUGAAACACGGACCAAGGAGUCUACCAUCCAUGCGAGUGUUUGGGUGUCAAACCCAGGCGCGGAAUGAAAGUGAACGGAGGUGAGACCCCGCAAGGGCGCAUCAUCGACCGAUCCAGAUGUCUUCGGAUGGAUUUGAGUACGAGCAUGGCUGGUGGGACCCGAAAGAUGAUGAACUAUGCCUGAAUAGGGUGAAGCCAGAGGAAACUCUGGUGGAGGCUCGCAGCGGUUCUGACGUGCAAAUCGAUCGUCGAAUUUGGGUAUAGGGGCGAAAGACCAAUCGAAUCAU